UAUUUUCUUUUUCAGGACGUGGUCACAAAUAAUGAGUUUGAGACAAACCUUGUGUCAUGUGUUAUCGCACUCAGAUAUUGGAGCCUUGGAGAAUGUAAAAGAAAUGUUAAACGAAUGUGAGAGCUUAUACCCGCAUAAAACAAUUUUUUCUUGGGCGUCGAUGAGCACAGGAGCUCGGAGGAGGCCACCAUGGAGCUGACGUGACCUCGGCAAACAAAACAUGUAAAGAAUGAGAACGACGAGGCGAGCCAAUACUACAGAGGAGCUGGGCCAUAGGGAGGUCUUAAUUUUAAGUAGCAAUCUUGGUUGCUAGCAUAUGUAAGAUUUGAAGUAUCUAUCCACCUUUAAAAUAGUAGUGUCUAAAUACUAAAUAAUGAUUAUAGUGAUUUAUGACAAUCAGGUACCGUUUGGUUUA